rnacentral:rRNA from 1 species
GCAAGGGACCUCCUGCACAGGUGCUGCAUGGCUGUCGUCAGCUCGUGUCGUGAGAUGUUGGGUUAAGUCCCGCAACGAGCGCAACCCUCGCCUUUAGUUGCCAGCACGUUUGGGUGGGCACUCUAGAGGAACUGCCGGUGACAAGCCGGAGGAAGGUGGGGAUGACGUCAAGUCCUCAUGGCCCUUAUGUCCUGGGCUACACACGUGCUACAAUGGCGGUGACAGUGGGAAGCUAGAUGGUGACAUCGUGCCGAUCUCUAAAAGCCGUCUCAGUUCGGAUUGUACUCUGCAACUCGAGUGCAUGAAGGUGGAAUCGCUAGUAAUCGCGGAUCAGCAUGCCACGGUGAAUACGUUCCCGGGCCUUGUACACACCGCCCGUCACACCAUGGGAGUUGGUUUGACCCGAAGCCGGUGAGCGAACCGCAAGGACGCAGCCGACCACGGUCGGGUCAGCGACUGGGGUGAAGUCGUAACAAGGUAAGCGUACGUGU